AUGCAGAGAUCAUUAUCCAUGUGUCUGAAUUGCUUAUCUAGGUUCUGCACUAAUUUGCUUGCUUUAGUUAACUUUGUAAUUUGUAGUCAACAUGUCCUCAGAGUUAUUCAUCCCUCUUAUAUUCAUAUAGAAAAUUGUUCCCCAACUCCAUUUGAAAUAAGAUGCCUUCAAAGUGAAGUAGAUACUUUUGGGAACGUCUCCAGAAGGGGAUCCAGGUCAGCCAAUAAGACACGGCUCCAGCCCUCUUUACAACUCUCAAAGUGGUCCCUCACUAUCAUGGCUGAAGAGUCAGGACCCAGGAAGCGAACGUAGAAAGAGAGAGAAUGAAGGUCUGUGGCGAGGCAUCUGCCACUACUUCCCUUUGUUUGGAAACAUGCUGCCAGUCCUAACUCGGUGGUACGUUAAAUCUUCCUUGCUCCUGCUUUCACUUGCAUUUGUCAUCCAGGAUUAUCUCUUUAUUGCUUA
rnacentral:lncRNA from 1 species